rnacentral:sRNA from 1 species
ACUCAACGAAAUUUUUUAUAAAGGGUAAGUCCGUUUGGUAAAAGCAUGCUUUCUUGAAAAGACCCUUGAUCCAGAGGUUAGCCCAAAUCCUGUUUAUAUAGGAGUUU